rnacentral:rRNA from 1 species
AACACCCGAAGUCGGUGGGGUAACCCGCAAGGGAGCCAGCCGCCGAAGGUGGGGUAGAUGAUUGGGGUGAAGUCGUAACAAGGUAGCCGUAUCGGAAGGUGCGGCUGGAUCACCUCCUUU